AGAGGAGGAUAAAGCGUUUGAAUUGAUAGUAAUAUUAGGUCAAUUGAUAUUUGAAUUGAAAAAGCGUUUCCGCCAUUAACAUUCAAAUUCUAUGAACAUGGAUGAUGAAGAUUCUUCCACCUGCCCCUUCUGUUUCUUAUCACUUCCAUCCUCACAACUUCAAUGGCAUGCCAAUACCCACUUCGAAGAUGACGAUUUUCGUUCUCCUCAGGUUGAAAAAGCAGUUCGUAACUUGCAUCUUAAUACAACUUUUGGAGAUUGUAACAAUUGGUGUGGUGGUGGUGGUGGUAGUAGUAGUAUUGGUAGAGAUAAUGGAGUGUGUAAUAUGGAUGAGAAGAUCUCUUGCUUGGUUGAUUUGCAGAUAAAGGGUGAAUUUCACAAUGUAAAUGGAGGUUUGAUGAACUUGUUAAGGAACUGUUUGGAGUCUGAUGGUGACAACUCAAGAAGCAUUUUAUCAGGUUAUGUUGAUCAUUUCCAAAGCAAUAAGUUUGAAGAUGUUGGAUGGGGUUGCGGUUGGCGUAACAUACAAAUGCUUAGCUCACAUUUAUUGGCACAAAAGAGAGAAACAAAAGAUGUAUUGUUUGGUGGUUCAGGAUUUGUUCCUGAUAUUCCAUCGCUCCAAAGAUGGCUUGAGAUUGCUUGGGAAAGAGGUUUUGAUGAAUCUGGCUCUCAUCAAUUCAAUCAUGCUAUCUAUGGCUCUAAAAAAUGGAUAGGAGCUACUGAAUGUGCUGCCCUUUUGCGUUCUUUUGGUCUCCGAUCAAGGGUAGUGGAUUUCGGUCCUAAGGAAUCUGAAUCUCUCUAUCUGUCUGUCCCUGGUUCGAGUCUUGGUGGACAGGAUUUAGUGAGAAUUGGUGAUGAAAGGAAGAGGAAAGCACCGAAUGUCUCAGGACCAAUGGAUAGAUAUCUGUCUCGUUGUGGCGGUGCUGUUUCUCAAACAAGUUGUAGAAAGAAUGCAGAGUCCUGUUCUUCUAUUAAUGCUACUGUGGAUAGAAAAAGUGGCGGUGAAUUUGUGGUGAAAAGUGCUGCUAAACAAAGUAAAAAUCAUCAAGUUCUCAUGGACUUUGUGUGGAAUUAUUUUUCAAAUAAAAACUCGAUUCAAUUUGGCUACAGGCGUGUUGUCUUCAGCGAAAAAACUCCCUUGUACUUUCAACAUGAUGGACACUCGAGAACAAUAGUUGGAAUCCAAGUCAGACAUCAACGAAAUGGAAUUCUGCAUUAUAAUCUCCUAGUUCUUGAUCCUGGUCAUAGAACGGCAGCUAUAGAAAGUUCACUAAGGGAGAGAAAAGGAUGGCAGAGAUUCAUAAAAAGAGGAGUGCACACACUGAGGAAGCAACAAUACCAGCUGUGUUAUGUCGAUCCUGGAAUUGCCAGUGAGGAGGAGAUGGAAAAACUCAAGACAGUGGACAGUGUCUUCAUUGAACUUUAGACAACCAUAUAAAAGUUCUUUGUUUCGUCAAGGUACCAUCUACUAUUUCAUGCCAUAUAAUAUUAUGGAGCUGUCUACAAAUAUUAACAGUUAUGUAUCAUCAUCACUGAAUCAUGCAUGCAAGCUUGUAAGACUGGAGACGUCACUUACAAGCUAGUUUUGUAAGAUUGAAUUAGACUCGAUCCAAAUUUUAAGAUUCAGUAGCAUCAAGGGGAUAAUCGUUAAAUCCAAUUUAGUUUACAUACUUCAUACUCCUUGUAUGAGACGGAAGGAAUCUUCUUAUCGUACAACUAAUGAGUGCUAUAUCAUGUUUAGGAUAUGUUCUUAUGGGAUGGUAUAAAACUGCUAGGGCUUAAUGGACACAAUAGAGAUGGUGGUUUAUGUUAUGUAUAACUCUACCUUUUCUGUUUGAUUUUGCUGUCAACUGGUAUCAGUUUUGGUCUGC